rnacentral:rRNA from 1 species
GUAAAUGAAAAGCUCCGACUAACUUCGUGCCAGCAGUCGCGGUAAAAACGGGGGGAGCUAGCGUUACUCGGAAUAAUUGGGCGUAAAGGGUGUGCAGGUUGUAUUUAUUUACAUGCAUUUAAAGAUAAUAGAUGUAAUCUUUUAUAAAAUGUAUCUGAUUAUAAUACUUGAGUUUAAAAGAGGAUAGUCGUAAUUUUAGUGUAAAGGUAAAAUUUGUUUUAUAUUAAAAGGACGGUCUUUCGGUGUAGACAACUAUCUAUGGUAAAACUGACGCUCAAACACAAAAGUAUGGGGAGCAAAUAGGAUUAGAGACCCUAGUAGUCCAUACCCUGACCUAUGAGUAUUAAAUAUAAGAUCUUUUUUUUGUAUUUAAGUUAACGUCGCAAAUACUCCGCCUGGGCAGUACGAUCGCAAGGUUGAAACUCAAAGGAAUUGACGGAGAUCAGCACAUGCGGUGGAACAUGUGAUUUAAUGCGUAAAUACGCGCAAACCUUACCUAGUCUUGUUUCUAUGGAUAAUUUUAUUUAUUAAUAGCGAUCAGGUGUUGCAU